CGUCCGCAGGAUUCGUUAAGAGACAACCAGCAGGGUUUGGACGGUUUGAGAAGAAUAAUAAUAAUAACAACAAACUCUCUCACUCUCACGUUGGCUUUUCUGUUUCCUGGUCCGACACAGCUGGUAUUUCACAGUGAAGAAGGGCACGUUGUCUCAAACGUCAGCGUUGCCGCAACGGAACAAAUUUAAAUCGAGUCGAUUUCGAUUGCCAGCUUUCGGGGCGACAAACAGGUGCUGCGUGACGCUGGCAGUGUUGACCCAGAUUCACAACGGAGUGUCCUGCAAUUCUGGGAUCGGUGUUUGCGUCAAACACAGAGAAGGACAAACAGAGAUCAGGCGGCGACCUCAGGGGGACAAAUACCUGUAAGAUCCCCCAGUCGUUGGAGCUGUUGGCGGACACGAUGAGGCCCUCCUCCUGGAAGGUCUUGAACCUCAGCGACAGUUUGAAAUCCCGGUUGUCCUCGUCCAUCCCGUGAAGGUACCUCAGUUGGAUGAGAUGUCAGACACACACACACGCGUACGUACGCACCGUUACAGGGGCAGACGCUCUCCCAGGUGUGUCUGGGGGUGAUGUAACCAGCUCUGGCAGUGGCAAAAUGGCCCAGUCUCUCUCCUGUCAGCCGGACAGCGUUCCUGCAGCCUCGUGGUGGACAGCUGGUACCCAGACACCCAUUGUGGCUCACCCUGAGGAUGCUCAGGCCCAGAGACUCCUCGAUG